GAUGAAGAACGUAGCGAAAUGCGAUAAGUAGUGUGAAUUGCAGAAUUCAGUGAAUCAUCGAAUCUUUGAACGCACAUUGCGCCCCCUGGUAUUCCGGGGGGCAUACCUGUUCGAGCGUCAUUUCACCACUCAAGCCUCGCUUGGUAUUGGGCAACGCGGUCCGCCGCGUGCCUCAAAUCGACCGGCUGGGUCUUCUGUCCCCUAAGCGUUGUGGAAACUAUUCGCUAAAGGGUGUUCGGGAGGCUACGCCGUAAAACAACCCCAUUUCUAAGGUUGACCUCGGAUCAGGUAGGGAUACCCGCUGAACUUAAGCAUAUCAAUAAGCGGAGGA
rnacentral:misc_RNA from 1 species